AUCAGCUGGCACUGAUGAGCUGCAGGUGCUGGAGGCUAGCAGAGCUGGGGAGCCUGCCUGUAGUAGGGGUUUGUGACUGGGGCAGAGAGGAGGUGUGAAGGUGGUGUGUUGUUCAUCAACUGGAGCAGCACAAACAGGUUGGCAAUUCCGAACAAUUCUGCCUGAUAACCUACUUACUGCCAGUGCCCAACUACAUCUGAUGCUGCGACUUCUUGGACAAAGCAAAAACUUUCUGCUGACUAACAUCUCCACUUUGCCCCAACCUGCUGGAUGCUCUGGAUAUGUGUCCCAUAUCUUCUUAAUGGUUUCCUGAAGACCUCUGAGUUGAAAGACUGGAUGGAUGGCUGUGUGUCCCUGGGGAGCAUGAAGAUUUCUCAACAACCUGAGCAAAUGAAGCAGCUUGGUUUGCUGACUUGAGAGAGCUGUAGUUUGAGGUUGCGGCGGUUCCUUCUGCCGAGCGCGGCGGCACAAUGCGAGUACAGUUUGGGCUCCGACGGGCUCUGAGCAGUUAUUAAACCCAGCGCGGCGGCAAAACCGAUAAACAGGCCGCAAUAAUGAGCACCCCCGAAUACUUACUUUGUUGUUAAUCCGCCAGCUAAGCUGAAGGACCUAACGGUAUUUGUUAGGGGCUUCUGAUUGUAAUUUAAAAGGGAUUUAAGAGUGGAUAAUUGCCAAAGUUUAGGGAAUUUUUCAUUAAAGAGCUCUCAUUAAUUAAUAAAGAGAGAAAAGAUACGUUUUUGUUUUCAGGGAGAUCUUUUAGUCGUAGAAAUUGCAGUCGUUUAUCCUGGCGGUGGGCAUUCUCCAGUACAGAAAGUUUGCAUUAAGUCACCAACUUUAUGUGGAGGAGGAGGUCUUUAGGAUCUCUAAGACAGUAUCCCUAAUGAGGUACAAACAAGCCCUGCCUUAGAUUACGUAGCGUGAGCGGUGUGACAGAAAUGCUUAAUUAUUAUUACAGCGCCCACCACAAAAGUGUUUAAUUAAUGCUGUUAGCAUUUCCUGUGCUAAGGGGAGCACACUGCUACACACAUUAUCUCCAAAUAAAACGUACAUAAUGAUCCUCUUGAAGAUCUUUACAUUAAUUAUAUAUGAUAAUCUGUAACAAACAAUAAUUGAUAGAUUGUCAGUGUGAAAGCUGGUUAAAACAAACAAGUGCAUCUUAUAAUGACUGCUUUGUUAAUAUGGUGAAUUUAAAUCUGUGAUGACAUUGAGGCAUAUACAUUAUAUACAUCG
rnacentral:lncRNA from 7 species